UACGGGGGGGGCAAGCGUUGUUCGGAAUUACUGGGCGUAAAGGGCUCGUAGGCGGCCAACUAAGUCAGACGUGAAAUCCCUCGGCUUAACCGGGGAACUGCGUCUGAUACUGGAUGGCUUGAGUUUGGGAGAGGGAUGCGGAAUUCCAGGUGUAGCGGUGAAAUGCGUAGAUAUCUGGAGGAACACCGGUGGCGAAGGCGGCAUCCUGGACCAACACUGACACUGAGGAGCGAAGCCAGGGGAGCAAACGGG
rnacentral:rRNA from 1 species